rnacentral:rRNA from 1 species
GGAGAGAACCACAGGGAUUGCCUUAGUAACUGCGAGUGAAGCGGCAAAAGCUCAAAUUUGAAAUCUGGCGUCUUCGACGUCCGAGUUGUAAUUUGGAGGGGCAUCUUCGGAAUUGGCGCCGUCCUAAGUUCCUUGGAACAGGACGUCAUAGAGGGUGAGAAUCCCGUGCCUGGAUGGCUGUCCAAUUCCAUGUGAAGUGUCUCCGACGAGUCGAGUUGUUUGGGAAUGCAGCUCAAAAUGGGUGGUAAAUUUCAUCUAAAGCUAAAUAUUGGCGAGAGACCGAUAGCGCACAAGUAGAGUGAUCGAAAGAUGAAAAGCACUUUGAAAAGAGAGUUAAAAAGUACGUGAAAUUGUUGAAAGGGAAGCGCUUGAGACCAGACUCAAUCUUAGGUGAUCAGCCGUGCUUCUGUACGGUGCACUUGCCUUUGAUUGGGCCAGCAUCAGUUCUGACGGUGGGAUAAAAUGCGAAGGAAUGUGGCUCUCUUCGGGGAGUGUUAUAGCCUUUGUAACAAUGCCACCAGUUGGGACUGAGGACCGCGCUUCGGCUAGGAUGCUGGCGUAAUGGUCUUAAGCGACCCGUCUUGAAACACGGACCAAGGAGUCUAACAUCUAUGCGAGUGUUCGGGUGGAAAACCCUUGCGCGUAAUGAAAGUGAACGGAGGUGUGAACCCCUCGGGGUGCAACAUCGACCGAUCCUGAUGUUUUCGGAAGGAUUUGAGUAAGAGCAUAGCUGUUGGGACCCGAAAGAUGGUGAACUAUGCCUGAAUAGGAUGAAGCCAGAGGAAACUCUGGUGGAGGCUCCCAGCGGUUCUGACGUGC